GAAUGCUGACAUAAGUAACGAUAAAGCGGGUGAAAAGCCCGCUCGCCGGAAGACCAAGGGUUCCUGUCCAACGUUAAUCGGGGCAGGGUGAGUCGACCCCUAAGGCGAGGCCGAAAGGCGUAGUCGAUGGGAAACGGGUUAAUAUUCCCGUACUUGGUGUUACUGCGAAGGGGGGACGGAGAAGGCUAUGUUGGCCGGGCGACGGUUGUCCCGGUUUAAGCGUGUAGGUGUGUGUUCCAGGUAAAUCCGGUUCACUUUAACACUGAGGCGUGACGACGAGGCACUACGGUGCUGAAGCAACAAAUGCCCUGCUUCCAGGAAAAGCCUCUAAGCAUCAGGUAACACGAAAUCGUACCCCAAACCGACACAGGUGGUCAGGUAGAGAAUACCAAGGCGCUUGAGAGAACUCGGGUGAAGGAACUAGGCAAAAUGGUGCCGUAACUUCGGGAGAAGGCACGCUGACACGUAGGUGAAGUGAUUUACUCAUGGAGCUGAAGUCAGUCGAAGAUACCAGCUGGCUGCAACUGUUUAUUAAAAACACAGCACUGUGCAAACACGAAAGUGGACGUAUACGGUGUGACGCCUGCCCGGUGCCGGAAGGUUAAUUGAUGGGGUCAGCGCAAGCGAAGCUCCUGAUCGAAGCCCCGGUAAACGGCGGCCGUAACUAUAACGGUCCUAAGGUAGCGAAAUUCCUUGUCGGGUAAGUUCCGACCUGCACGAAUGGCGUAAUGAUGGCCAGGCUGUCUCCACCCGAGACUCAGUGAAAUUGAACUCGCUGUGAAGAUGCAGUGUACCCGCGGCAAGACGGAAAGACCCCGUGAACCUUUACUAUAGCUUGACACUGAACAUUGAGCCUUGAUGUGUAGGAUAGGUGGGAGGCUUUGAAGUGUGGACGCCAGUCUGCAUGGAGCCGACCUUGAAAUACCACCCUUUAAUGUUUGAUGUUCUAACGUGGACCCGUAAUCCGGGUUGCGGACAGUGUCUGGUGGGUAGUUUGACUGGGGCGGUCUCCUCCUAAAGAGUAACGGAGGAGCACGAAGGUUGGCUAAUCCUGGUCGGACAUCAGGAGGUUAGUGCAAUGGCAUAAGCCAGCUUGACUGCGAGCGUGACGGCGCGAGCAGGUGCGAAAGCAGGUCAUAGUGAUCCGGUGGUUCUGAAUGGAAGGGCCAUCGCUCAACGGAUAAAAGGUACUCCGGGGAUAACAGGCUGAUACCGCCCAAGAGUUCAUAUCGACGGCGGUGUUUGGCACCUCGAUGUCGGCUCAUCACAUCCUGGGGCUGAAGUAGGUCCCAAGGGUAUGGCUGUUCGCCAUUUAAAGUGGUACGCGAGCUGGGUUUAGAACGUCGUGAGACAGUUCGGUCCCUAUCUGCCGUGGGCGCUGGAGAACUGAGGGGGGCUGCUCCUAGUACGAGAGGACCGGAGUGGACGCAUCACUGGUGUUCGGGUUGUCAUGCCAAUGGCACUGCCCGGUAGCUAAAUGCGGAAGAGAUAAGUGCUGAAAGCAUCUAAGCACGAAACUUGCCCCGAGAUGAGUUCUCCCUGAGACUUUAGGUCUCCUGAAGGAACGUUGAAGACGACGACGUUGAUAGGCCGGGUGUGUAAGCGCAGCGAUGCGUUGAGCUAACCGGUACUAAUGAACCGUGAGGCUUAACCUUACAACGCCGAAG
rnacentral:rRNA from 2 species